AAAACUGAGUCAGGCCUCUGGGCAGGGCUCAGCUGGGACGGCUCAUCUCGGCUCCAGGCCUUGUUGGAGGAUCCCGAUGGCUUCACCCUCAUGCCGGCCCCGCAGCCAGACCACCGAGCUGUAACGUCAGGGUCCACGGAGCAGCCCAGCUGUCGCUGUCACUGGGCAAGGACAGCAGCCGGCCCUGACGAGGACAUGAUCCCAGGAUCUCAGACCCCUCCAGGAUGAGGGCCGGUCAUCCCACCCGGCGAGCCGCCUAGACCCGCAGACGUGCCAGCCAAAGGGGGCUCUGGAGUGUCUGAUGGAGGAGGCAGAGGACGGUGACCAGCAGGCCCAGCCUCGAGACCCGCUGCCUCCCUCGCUCGCCUCCUCUGAGGGGAGUCCUGCCAUUGAGCCCCUCUCUGAGGCGGGGCAGAUCCCAGGAGGGAGGCGAAGGGAGAUGCCAGGAGGACGACCGGGCGGCAGACACAGAAGGCAGCCGGUUCCGAAAGUCCCGGAACUUCUUCAUGAAGACAAAAUCUGUUGAAUAAUGGAUAUAUUUGGAUAGAGAGGAGAUUUGGGCAAGUGGUGAAAAGCUGGAGUUGAAUUAGUCAGUACAUAAAAAAAAACUAAGCCAAGAAAAAUGGUAGUUAUUAUAACAUAUACCAUAAAAGUAAAUAAUAUUGGAAACAAAGUAAUAAUACUGGAAACACUGAUUAUUGAUCUAUAAUGCGAGGGGAAGUGGGAUGAGAAGCGAGCUUGUUGGGGGGUGGAUAGAAAGGGGGAAACGCUCUUGCAUAGCAGGAAAUCCGUCGGUCAUUCCUAAAACUGCAGGACUCAGAGGACCAAACCAAGCCUGUGAUUAGGUGCAAACACGAAAAUUCCCGAGACCAACAGGUAAAAGCAAUGGAAGGGAUCUCCCUGGUCAGGCAAGAACGAUGGAAACUGUGGGUUUUUUCCCCUAACAACCUUUGUGGAAAUAUUUGGCUCUAAGUAUAGCAAUUACUUAAAUUAAAUUAAAUUGAUUAAACCAUAAAUUAAGAAAUAAAACUUUGUUCCAUUCGG
rnacentral:lncRNA from 1 species